UGAAUUCUCAGAUGUCCUUACUCGGUGACU
rnacentral:piRNA from 1 species